rnacentral:snRNA from 1 species
AGAGGAACCGUUGAUUCG